GAUGAACGCUGGCGGCGUGCCUAAUACAUGCAAGUCGAACGGGAGGCUUUGAGCAAUCAGAGCUGAGAGUGGCGCACGGGUGAGUAACACAUGGCUGACCUGCCCUUCAGAGGGGAACAACCAGUGGAAACGCUGGCUAAUACCCCAUACGCUCGCUGGGAUUAGAAGCCGGUGAGGAAAGCGCAAGUGCUGAAGGAGGGGGCUGUGGCCCAUCAGCUGGUUGGUAGGGUAACGGCCUACCAAGGCAAGGACGGUAGGGGACCUGAGAGGGUGACCCCCCA
rnacentral:rRNA from 1 species